rnacentral:SRP_RNA from 1 species
GCCGGGCGCAGUGGCUUACGCCUGUAAUCCCAGCACUUUGGGAGGCCGAGGUGGGUGGAUCACCUGAGGUCAGGAGUUCAAGACCAACCUGGCCAACAUGGUGAAACCCCAUCUCUA